rnacentral:ncRNA from 11 species
CCCGCGUGGUCUAGCGGUUAGGAUUCCUGGCUUUCACCCAGGCGGCCCGGGUUCGACUCCCGGCGCGGGAG